rnacentral:tRNA from 1 species
CAGAUAAGCUCCAUUGGUAGAGCACCUGAAUAUAGAUUCAGGGGACUUGGGUUCGAAUCCCAGUCUG